UACGUAGGGUGCGAGCGUUGUCCGGAAUUAUUGGGCGUAAAGGGCUCGUAGGCGGUUUGUCACGUCGGGAGUGAAAACUCGGGGCUUAACCCCGAGCCUGCUUCCGAUACGGGCUGACUAGAGGUAUGCAGGGGAGAACGGAAUUCCUGGUGUAGCGGUGAAAUGCGUAGAUAUCAAGAGGAACACCUGCGGCGAAGGCGGGUUGCUGGGCCGACACUGACGCUGAGGCGCGAAAGCCAGGGGAGCGAACGGG
rnacentral:rRNA from 1 species